UUUUCGAAAUGGAACGUCGUGGACGAAGUGAACUAAACUUUUAGCACGCUUUGGCCGCCGAACUUUUAACUAAGCUCGACCUCAGAUCAGGUAGGAAUACCCGCUGAACUUAAGCAUAUCAAUAAGCGGAGGAAAAGAAACCAACAGGGAUUGCCUCAGUAGCGGCGAGUGAAGCGGCAAGAGCUCAGAUUUGAAAUCUCACCUAGUGUGCGAGUUGUAAAUUGCAGGUUGGAGUCUCGGGUUAGACGUGUGUGCAAGUCCCUUGGAACAGGGUGCCACUGAGGGUGAGAGCCCCGUAGCGUGCAUGUCGACACCUGUGAGGCCCUUCUGACGAGUCGAGUUGUUUGGGAAUGCAGCUCUAAGUGGGUGGUAAAUUCCAUCUAAGGCUAAAUAUUGGCGAGAGACCGAUAGCGAACAAGUACUGUGAAGGAAAGAUGAAAAGCACUUUGAAAAGAGAGUGAAACAGCACGUGAAAUUGUUGAAAGGGAAGGGUAUUGGGCUCGACAUGGGAUUUACGCAUCGUUGCCUCUCGUGGGCGGCGCUCUGGGUUUUUCCUGGGCCAGCAUCGGUUUUCGUUGCAGGAUAAGGACAAUUGGAAUGUGGCUCCUCGGAGUGUUAUAGCCUUUUGUAGAUGCUGCGUAUGGGGACCGAGGGCUGCGGC
rnacentral:rRNA from 1 species